AUCAAAGUCAAAAUGUGAAAAAGAACCUUUAGAUGAUGUUCGAACGUCCUUAUCUUUCGUAGUUGUUGUCAAGUACUUUAUCUUUAUAACCUGUCAAACUCUGGGCGACUUUUGGGUUAAAUCUUUCUUAAUAGCCAAGAUUGCACCGUGGUUAACGGCUUCUUAGUUUACCCGUAGACAAUGUCCGUGACGGGAAAUAAAAGUCUUUUCGAGUGUUACGUGUGCUAUUCGUUCUAUAACAAUGACUACCGCAAACCAAAGUACCUGGUGUGCCAUCACACUAUCUGCCUCGAUUGCAUUUGCAAAAGUAUGGAAUCCUCGCCAUCGGGGGUAAGAUGCCCUUUCUGCCGCGUGUGGACAGAAAUUGGGUCAAUGGACGUCAACAAAGCUCUGCGAACCAAUCAAGAUAUUCUUGACUUCAUGGACAUAUGGUUAUUUAAAUUGACGAAUAAUGUUGAAAGUCCUUCGCUCGGUCGUGAUAGGGACACCGAUUACAAUCCAGCAAUUACCUCCACGAAACUGCAAUGGUGUUGCGCUUGCCAACAGUUGGCUUUGAACACUUGCCGAGAUAAUAGCCACAGCCUUUUAACUGUUUCGCCGACCGUUUCGAAAUUGGCUCAGGAAGCCGUAACACAGGGCCGGCAAUCGCAAGCCAAUUGGGAAAAGGCCAUCACGAAAAGAGGCGAUUUGAAAACCAUAGUCACAUCGAUUCAAUCAUCGGUGAAUCGUUUGAAAGACCGCGUUGAUGCUCUAGUCGAAGAGAAUGAACGGGCGUUAGUCGCUCUGCGUGAUUGCUUCGAAGAUGUGACGCAAUCCAUUAACGCGCUCGACCCAUUGGCCUCUAAUGUCGAUUUGAAGGGAUUCGUUAUCCAAUCUGAGCACGAUUUAACAAUUGCAACAGACAACUUGGAAAAAUGGUCUUCUUUUGACGGGACUCAUGUCUCAGUUUCUUUGGAAUUACCUCAUCAACGGUUAAUGAACGCAUGCAGUGUCCUCGAUGGUGUCAUUUCUUGGGUGGAUAACCCUUCGAAUGUGGUUAAGGAAGAAGAUGGGAAAAUGCCAGAAUCCGAGAUAGAUAUUAAUGCUUUUCUGUUAGACGCUCGACGAUUCGUUGGCUUUUUAUUAGCAUCCGUCCCUAACAGCCCAGUUCCAAACGUGCGUCGCAAUAAGGAAACCAGAAAACCGAAAAGAUUUUCCAACCCGCUACCGUCGGUUAGACCAAUAAGCCUUUCAUUAUCUUCUCCUAUACCUCAUCGAUUUAAUAUAACACCUCUAAAAAACGAGUUGUUGAAAGUCAGUGAUCCGCCAUCAAACGGACAUUUGACAGAGUUUACUUCUACCUGUGCCUGGAAUCCUACAGAAAGCGUCUUGGCUUCAACCAGAAAAAACGAAUGCGUUUCUCUAAAUUUUGGGCCGAACUUCAAUAAUCUAACGCCGCUCUCGUUCGAAGGACCACUGCACAUAGGAAGCAAUCAACCUUCACCAAAAAGCGGCGACAUCAGUCGAUUGGCUUGGAAUCCCAAAGGCACGCAACUGGUCACUGGAUCGAAAGACGGAUGGAUUUCUUUUUGGACGUUAAGUGGAAUAAGCCUCUAUCAACAAAAACAGCACAGCGAAGAGAUAAUGGCAAUGAAUUGGAACCCCGAAGGAAAACUGCUGGCCACGGCUGGUCGCGACACGCUCAUUAAAAUCUGGAAUGCUGCAGGCCAGAAUGCAGUUCAGAGUUUUUCGUAUCACACCAACGCCGUUUGGGAUAUUCAAUGGCAGUCCGAGAACACGUUCGCAUCGUGUGACAUAAGCGGCAAAAUGUUCUUUGGCGACAUUAGGACUGGGUCAAAUGUUUGCACUGGGAUCCGGAGCAUUUCCUAUUGGCUUCGUGUUCGGUUGACACUACUGUAAAAAUUUGGACGCCGUUAGUGCCACCUUUUUUACAAGAAUACACAGCUCACACAAAAUCAGUGAACGCAGUUCAAUGGAGCCCCACCGGACCUGGAUCAUUGUAUCCUAACGCUAAUCGAUACCUUGCCAGCUGUUCAGAUGAUCAAACAGCUCAGAUCUUGGACGUGAGC
rnacentral:misc_RNA from 1 species